UGAAAUUAUUACUGUGACUCCGUUGGAGAGCAGUGAAGGGAAUACACACAGGAUUUAUAUGAAAUAUGGAAUGGCCACUGACACUAAAUCCGAGGAAUAACUCUGCGUAACCGAAACGGUGAAGAAGAUAUUCAAUAUUUGGCGAUGGAUAAUCAGAAAGAUACAUUAUGACAGACCUGUGCAAGGCUACUGGAGCAUGCCAGAGCAAACAUGAUCCCAACUUGAAAACAUUAUAAA